rnacentral:tRNA from 1 species
GUUCGCUGUGGCAUACGGGCUGUGCACGGCCGCGUUCGUGCCCCGGCCGCUGCUCAACCUGGCGGCGGGCGCCGUGUUCGGCUCGGAGCUCGGACU